GGCUGCCAUGUGACGCACAUCUCCUGGGGCGCGGAAGGGAAGCCCCACUGCACUCCAUGGGACUUACUUCCGAGUCAGCAGGCACAGGAUCGGGCCACAUGCCGGCCCGGAGAGCCCCACUUGCUUGUGCAGGCAAACAUACACCCACUGGAAGUCUAAUUAAAUCGGAUUAGGAGGCAACACCAUUGUCUUGUACAAAAGGUCUUCUAUUUUCCUUGGAAGUGAAAAUGAGAUUUGGUCAUGCACCACUAAGACAGCCAACCCGUACAAGAGCCGGGAUAGUUACACAAAGACUGUUUUCAAAAAGACAUUUCAGCGUCUGCUAAACAACACACAACAUUGCCUUCGAGAACCAUAGAAAGAAGUGGGACCUCCAAGAAAAAGAUAUGCAAUGCUGGCUCUGAAGAAGGUGACUUUAGAUAAUCAGGAGACCAGGGUUAGGAUCAGCUAUAAACCACACUAGAUAAACCUGGGCUAGUCACUACAUCUAAGCUUAGGCUACCUCACAGGGUUAUUGUGAGGAACAAUAAGCCAGGAGAAAAACCCCAGGAGAAGGACCAAGGAGGAAAAGUGAAUUAAUAAAUCAAUUCUGAUGUGAAAGAGCACUGGUUCUGAGUUGUAAACAGGUAGCAUUCAGAUGCACCAGUUAGGGCAUUUAGAUCACCCUUACCUGCUGAUCCUUUACAAAUGCCAUCAGAAAAAGGGGACUGGAAAAUGUCAAAAACAGGGGUAGGCAACCUCCUCGCUACUCCAUCUGUUGUUGAACUACAACUCCCACCAUCCCCUGGGGGUGAUGGAAGUUGUAGUUCAAGAGCAGAUGGAGUGCCAAGGUUGCCUACCCCUGGUCUAAAGGUUAUGUUGAGGCCUAAGUCUACCCAAGAACAUUGUCCCUCCACACCAUGGUCUAUGGCACAGCAAGUCCAUCUCCGACUAGAGAACUUAGUGACAGAAGUUCAAUAUCAGUGUCAGGAGGCAGGGAAGGGGUGGAUGUGGGCUGAAAUUGAAUCCAGGCAGGACAAAGAUUCUCCUGGUCAGGAAACUGCAGAUGUGGCAAUGGCUGUCAACCUGUUCUAAACAGGGUUGCACUCCCCUUGAAGGAGCAGGUGCAUCAUUUGGGAUUUCUCCUGGAGCUGACAUCACACCUGGGUAUUCCGGUUCUGCUGUGGUCUGGAAGCCUUGGCCUCACUUUGGCUGGUGCUCUGACAGCUACCAUUUUGA